GUGUAGCGGUGGAAUGCGUAGAUAUAUGGAAGAACACCAGUGGCGAAGGCGGCUACCUGGUCUGCAACUGACGCUGAGACUCGAAAGCAUGGGUAGCGAACAGGAUUAGAUACCCUGGUAGUCCAUGCCGUAAACGAUGAGUGCUAGGUGUUGGAGGGUUUCCGCCCUUCAGUGCCGGAGCUAACGCAUUAAGCACUCCGCCUGGGGAGUACGACCGCAAGGUUGAAACUCAAAGGAAUUGACGGGGGCCCGCACAAGCGGUGGAGCAUGUGGUUUAAUUCGAAGCUACGCGAAGAACCUUACCAGGUCUUGACAUCUUGCGCCAACCCUAGAGAUAGGGCGUUUCCUUCGGGAACGCAAUGACAGGUGGUGCAUGGUCGUCGUCAGCUCGUGUCGUGAGAUGUUGGGUUAAGUCCCGCAACGAGCGCAACCCUUGUUACUAGUUGCCAGCAUUAAGUUGGGCACUCUAGUGAGACUGCCGGUGACAAACCGGAGGAAGGUGGGGACGACGUCAGAUCAUCAUGCCCCUUAUGACCUGGGCUACACACGUGCUACAAUGGACGGUACAACGAGUCGCGAACUCGCGAGGGCAAGCAAAUCUCUUAAAACCGUUCUCAGUUCGGACUGCAGGCUGCAACUCGCCUGCACGAAGUCGGAAUCGCUAGUAAUCGCGGAUCAGCAUGCCGCGGUGAAUACGUUCCCGGGCCUUGUACACACCGCCCGU
rnacentral:rRNA from 2 species